rnacentral:rRNA from 1 species
UGUUCGCCAGUUAAAGUGGUACGCGAGCUGGGUUCAGAGCGUCGUAAGACAGCUUGAUUAGAGAGAGAACUGUCUUUCUUCAACGAUGCUUUACCAAUCGAGAAUUUUUUUAAUCUUUUUGUCAAAAAAUGAAGAUAUAUGUAAAGCCGGAUAUUUUAGCUUUACAUGAAUAGUAAAUCUAGCUAUAUGCUGGGACGCCUUGUAAAUAGUAAUCUACUAGUAUACAAUUUUACUACUAGUAAAAAUGAUUACUCAUUCGGUGGAUACCGAAGCAAGGUAAUCAGCAGGAAAGACUAGUUUCAAAUGUUUCUAAGUGACGAUUAUUUGAUUGGUUUUACUGAAGGAGAAGGGAUGUUCUAUAUAGGAAUAGUUCCCUCUAAAGAAACCAAAACCGGUUGGCAGGUGAUUUACUUUUUAAAAGUAUCUCAAAACCCAAUUGGACUAAAGGUUUUAAACCAAUUUAAAAAACGUCUAGGUUGUGGCUAUGUUAAACAAAAUAGCCAAACCGAUAAAACGGAUAAAUCUUUAGCUUAUGUAGUCAGAGAUUUUCCGAGUUUAAGAGACAAGGUUAUUCCAUUUUUUGAAGGUAAAUUAAUUAUUAAAAAACAAGCCUUUGAAAAAUUCAAGCAAGUUUUAGAUAUUGUUGCAAAGAAGCAGCAUCUAACUCUAGCUGGAAUAACUCAAAUUCUAGAAAUAGCUUAUUCUAUGAAUACUCAAAAGAGGAAAGUAGAAAAGCAAUUAAUUCUGGAAGCAUAUUUGAAAUUAGAAUCCUCACAGGCCAUACGCUAGAGUCCGACGAUAUGUCGGACAAGAUAUGGUCGGACCCCAUUGGUGACAAUGGGAGCUAACAGGAAACAGAAACUAGUUAGUUUUGUAACAAUGAUGUCGGACUCUAUCCAGUAUGGGCGUUUUGAUACUUGAGGGGAGUUAUUUCUAGUACGAGAGGACCGAAAUGAGGAAACCCCUAGUGUGCCUGUUGUCACUACAGUGGCAGCGCAGGGUAGCUACGUUUCUAACUGAUAAGUGCUGAAAGCAUCUAAACACGAAGCAGACCCCAAGAUGAGGUAUCUUUUAAGAUCCCUGGAAGACUACCAGGUUGAUAGGUUGGCGGUGUAAGUGCUGUAAGGCAUUUAGCCUACCAAUACUAAUGAUCGUU